ensembl:lncRNA
GUUUGUUUGCUUUAAGAAAGUAUUUGCCCUCAUUAAGUAGGAAUGUAUAAAAUCUGGUGUCAAUAAGCUUAAUUGAUAUGAAGGCUUGAUUGGAUUUGGGGAAGAGAUGUAGAUAUUGCCUCCUGCUGUACUUAGUAAAGAAGCCUGGCAGGGUGGCCUCAGCAGAGAGAGCUCUUAAGCAGGAAUCUAAGGUUCGCAUAUAAUAAGGAAGAGGUGAUUUCUAUGGUGAAGAACUGGAAGUUUUUUUCACCAAUGUGCUGAUGAAGAAAAUGGUAACACCUGAAGAUAUAGAAGGCAGAACAAGGAACUCCUACAUGCUUCAGCUACAGCUUGUACUAAGGUUUCCCAGAUACUCAAAGUGGUGACUCAGUCCAGGCUGGAUGUCUGAGAAUCCAGAGUCUAUGAGUCUAUGAAUCUGGAAUG